rnacentral:rRNA from 1 species
CCUACGGGGUGCUGCAGUGGGGGAUAUUGGGCAAUGGGCGCAAGCCUGACCCAGCAACGCCGCGUGAAGGAAGAAGGCUUUCGGGUUGUAAACUUCUUUUCUCAGGGACGAAGCAAGUGACGGUACCUGAGGAAUAAGCCACGGCUAACUACGUGCCAGCAGCCGCGGUAAUACGUAGGUGGCAAGCGUUAUCCGGAUUUACUGGGUGUAAAGGGCGUGUAGGCGGGAAAGCAAGUCAGAUGUGAACACCAUGGGCUCAACCUGGGGCCUGCAUUUGAAACUGUUUUUCUUGAGUGCUGGAGAGGCAGACGGAAUUCCUAGUGUAGCGGUGAAAUGCGUAGAUAUUAGGAGGAACACCAGUGGCGAAGGCGGUCUGCUGGACAGCAACUGACGCUGAGGCGCGAAAGCGUGGGGAGCAAACAGGAUUAGAUACCCUUGUAGUC